AACUUAGUGGCUCAGAACUAGCCAACCAUGAGGUAUUGCAUGAAACAUGCCAAUGUAGCCAACCAUAAGGUGUCAAUAUGCAUGUGAAGCUAAUGGCCUAAGCUAAGUGUGUGAGUAACUUGUAGCUCACAGUAGGCUGAGCAUGUAACAUUGGGUAGGAAGGAACAAGCUCAACUAGUCAGUAACUUGGCCAACUCGAAGGAAACCCCACCAAGUGGGCAAUGUGAG
rnacentral:lncRNA from 1 species